rnacentral:rRNA from 1 species
UGGGGAAUAUUGCACAAUGGGCGCAAGCUUGAUGCAGCAACGCCGGCGUGGGGGAUGAAGGCUUUCGGGUUGUAAAUUCCUUUCAUCAUCGACGAAGGGUUCAUUUUUGUGGGUUUGACGGUAGGUGGAGAAGAAGCACCGGCUAACUACGUGCCAGCAGCCGCGGUAAUACGUAGGGUGCGAGCGUUGUCCGGAAUUACUGGGCGUAAAGAGCUCGUAGGUGGUUUGUCGCGUCGUCUGUGAAAUUCCGGGGCUUAACUCCGGGCGUGCAGGCGAUACGGGCAUAACUUGAGUGCUGUAGGGGAGACUGGAAUUCCUGGUGUAGCGGUGAAAUGCGCAGAUAUCAGGAGGAACACCGAUGGCGAAGCAGGUCUCUGGGCAGUAACUGACGCUGAGGGAGCGAAAGCAUGGGGAGCAAACAGGAUUAGAUACCCUGGUAGUCCAUGCCGUAAACGGUGGGCGCUAGGUGUAGGGUCUUCCACGACUUCUGUGCCGUAGCUAACGCAUUAAGCGCCCCGCCUGGGGAGUACGGCCGCAAGGCUA